rnacentral:lncRNA from 1 species
ACUUACUUCUAACAAGUUAUCACUGAGGAGCUGUAUCCCAGGAAUCUGCUUAAAAUACGGUAAUAAGAUGGGGGGAGCAUGACCUUCGCAGCCGUGCCUGGACACUCACCAGCACAGGGACCAUUUCUGGACCUUAGCUCCUUCUCGAUGAAAUGGAAAUAAGAGCAGCACACGUCUCCGAGCGCCGAGGUGGAAAGCCAGUGCGUUCAAGCCGAGGGCAAGGCCUGGGAAAGCAGCUUCUUUUCAUUUCAUCAACAAAACUGGACACGGAUCAAUUUCAACUGACCUUUGCCGAAAGGUGGCGCUGUUGAGGUAAAAACCAACUCGUUCCAACAAUAGUUUUCACUCUUCGAUCGUUUUGCAGGCUUUUAAGAUUUUUUUUUUAAAUACACCCUCCUAGCGUCUCCCCCUUCCAUAAAAUAAAUAUGAUUAACACCAAACGCAUUUCAUUAAUUGGAGAAAUCAACAGUCCAACAUCCAAGCAAGCGGGCCGGUCUUCCAAACGCUGGGUCCACUUCGCGCACUCUUGCUUUCCCUCAAAUAAAUCUCGGCGUCUCCGACUGGCCUAUCGCUUUAAAAUCUUAGAAACAGAAUUGUUGGUUCUUUCUUUUUUCUUCUUUUUCUUCUUCUUCUUUUUUUUUUUUUUUUUGCAUAAGCUUUAGAAGAAUCGAUGUAGAAAAUUGAAUAGUUAUUAACAUCUGCAACCGGAGGGGGAGAAGUAGCCCCCACCUCACCCCACCCCACCCCCACUCUGGGUUUCCGGGCCCGUCCAGAAACCGCGGUUUAAAAUUUAACCCUUCGAGGGAAGCUUGUGAAGGCUAGAGUGUUGGGUUUUUUUCCCCUCGUUCCUCGUCAGGAUCAAGUCUGAAAUAAUUAGGUGAAACGUAGAAGUGCAAAGGGCGCGCGGGACC